rnacentral:lncRNA from 1 species
AUCUCCCGGACGCUCAACCGCCGCGCCGCGCGUCCCCGUCGCGUCUCCCCGCCCCCGGCUGCAGGUCGCUUAGCAAUUGAAUACAAGUGCAUAAAUGGAAUUAUUUUCCCAUUGUCUCCAUGUUCCCAUCGAGCGUAUGUAAAUGGGCCUUUUACCUCUGACAGCCUUUCAUGGACGCCUCCAGCUUGGCAGCUGUGGAAUCAGCUUUACCUGCCUACCUCUCAGUGUCUCUGCUGCCGGGAUUGAUUUUUGAGACCAAAAGGCAACAUAAAGGGCCCUCGGCUGACCUAAAUAUAUUAAAGCCCUCUGCACAUAGCUUUAUUUACACCCCCACUGAAGAUCUAGGCUCUGGAGAGCCUUAGCCACAAAGUGAAACCAAUCAGGUCUCAGGGACGUGACUGGCACAGGUCCCAGGAAGCCAUGGAAGGACCCUUUGUCCCUGGGCAGAAACAGAUGGUGACUGGAUAUCGGUUCUCCUGUGGGACAUCACCAGGGUCCCACAGGUGAAAUUCACUGGGUACCAAUGCCUCAGCACUGUCCAGCGGACGCUCUUAGCUGAGGAGCGGGUCUUUAUACGAUUUGGCGGAAUGGAAACUUAUGAGUUG